CCUUCCCCCUCCGCCCGAGGAAGCAGCAGCACCCAGCCGAGGGGUCGCCUCGUCGCCCAGCAGGCCGGGGCUCCCCUGCGCAGGAUCUCCUCAGACUCGCGCAGGGUUACUUCGCCGCAGAAACUGAAGCACGGCCAGGAGCGUCUGACGGUCGGUGGGCAGCUGAGACGCGCUGGCGGCAGGGCUGGGAACCACCGGGGGCUUGGAGUCGGCGCCUGCCGUCGGAAGCGGCUCCGCGUCGGAGGCGGGAGCCACAGGGGAAGGGGCCGGGCCGGCGGGAGGCGUCGGGGCCUGAGGGACAGCGGGAGGCGGCGGUGGCGGCGCUCCCGCGUCCGGGUCUGGCUUCACAGUGACUGCCUCCGCCGGCUCCUCUGCCAGCGCCGCCAUCUUUAUCCCCUUUCAGGGAGACCGCGGUUUUGCGACAGUCAGGGCGUGAAGAAAAGGGAUUGGACGACACCCACCCGUGGCUUGACGGCACUUCCGGUUCCGAGAAGCUGCCAUGAGCCAAAGCCCCGCCGCUGAGGGAUCUGGCGAAGGACUGGGAGGCGAGGACGUAGCAGCCAAAGCCCUGGAAGGCCCCGGUUGCUCCAAGGCGAGGUCCCGCUUCGAAGGGGGAAGCCUCUCCGAGUCCAGCGGGGAGGGAAACGGAGACAUGGAGGAGGAGGAAGAGGAAGGAGGAGAAGAAGAAGAGAUGGAGGAAGGAGGGGGCCCAGAACAAGGUCCCUUUGGGGCUUCGGGGACAGAAGACGAAGCGAAGCGAAUGCGGAUGAGCGCAUGAUUAACCUCUCUGAACUGACACCAUAUAUCAUGUGUUCCAUCUGCAAGGGGUACUUUAUAGAUGCCACAACCAUCACAGAGUGCCUUCAUACAUGUAUGUAGUGGUACUGAUUUCUUGUUCAAAAGAAGCUUGAUUUUUCAUAUACAGAAAGAUGAGUUUUGGAAUGCCGGAACAGCUACAGUAAUCAGUCUGGGUUUUCAAUGAAGUUUCUUGUGUUCUUUCCUCUUCUCCUUCAUCUUUAAUUCCUGUCAGUUCUAAAAUCUAAUUUUGGAGAAAUUUGAUUUAAAAUGUUAUCUCUAGGAAUCUCUAGGUCCUCCAGUGCGACUCUUAUAGUCAGCCUCCACCAGAUGUUGACUAUGGAGUCAUGCUGGAGGACCUGGAAGUUCCAAGAGAGAACACUUCUAGGUAUCCCUAGGUAGUCCAGUGUGAUUCUGUGGUCUGCCAUUGGCAGAAGUUUACCAUAGAGUCACACUGGAGGAUCUAGAGAUUCCUACAGAGGUGUUCUCUCAGGUUAAAAAACAUAAUUUUUUAUUUUAAAAAUGUGGUUUUUCCCAUUUUUGCUCUGAUCCUGCGCCCUUAACUAUAGUGAAUGCGGAGGGCUGGCAGAAUUUAUAUUAUGCAUGGUCAGAAAAGGAAUACCAAGUAUAAACUUCUCAGUUGCAGCAGCUGGGGGAGUAAAAUAGGGUAACCUUAUUUCAUUACAUUAUUGUAUGCAUAUUACUGAUAUUCUUUUUGCUAAACUUCUUUGUAAGCCAUCAGGCUAGAAGUCUCUGGUACAAUCCCCAUAUCUGCGUGGGGUACAUUUCGAGAUUUUGUGUGGAUAUGCAAAACUGCAGAUCAUACCAAGCCAUGUUAAAGUAUUUCUGGCUCAAAGAAUGCCAUAGAAUUACACUGGGGAUCUAGAAAGUGCUUUAAAGGGCAUAUUUUGUCAGAUAAAUAAAACUACAGACGCCAGUCCCCUAGCUAUUGGGGAGGGGGGUGUCAUGCUGUAUUUUAGCAAAACUAUUGCCUUUUCACUUGUUUUAUUUUACAAUUCACCUGCGUUUUAGACAACUCUUGGUAACAUGAUAUAUUAUAUGUGGUAAGUGUUACUUACUCCUGGGCAUGUAACUGUGACUUUAUUUUUUACAGUCUGUAAAAGCUGCCUAGUUAGACAUUUUUACUACAGUAACAGAUGUCCAAAAUGCAACAUUGUAGUACAUCAGACACAGCCUCUUUAUAAUAUCAGGUAAUAAUCUUAAAUGGUUUCUGUUCUACAAUGUGCUUGUUGUGUUGUUUGCAUAGAAAGUAUAAUUGAAAGACUUUUUGCUGUCCCGUAGAAGAACUUAAUAAGUCUGCAGAAAAUUAUUAAUUUCCUUUACUGUUCAGAAAAUAAAAUCUGCAUAUCCCCAAAAGUUGCCUUAUCCUUGAAAGUUUUCCUUUUGUUGUCUGUUUCUGUGACUUUAACUCUUACUCAGUAUACCAGUGCAGUGUUUAAAAGAUAGUAGUAAAUUUGCUUUUGUGAAUUAUGACUGUUGGGCUAUUACCUAGUGAUUCACCUUCAUUGUAGAUCUAAUUCCGUUUGACACCACUUUAAUUGUCAUGGCUCAGUGGUGUGGAAUCCGGGAAGUUGUAGUUUAACAAACUUCUCUGACAAAGAGUGCUUGCUGUGCUUCACCAAGCUACAAUUCUUGGGAUUCCAUAUCAUUGAGCACUUAAAUUGAUGUCAAACUGCAUUAAUUCUGCAGUGUAGCUGCAUUAAUUCCUCA
rnacentral:lncRNA from 1 species